ensembl:lncRNA
GCCAAAAUUGUCCAGAAUUCUUUGUAGAAUUCUGCAGGGAAGCCGUCUGGACCUGGAGCCUUAUUAUUGGGCAUACUUAUCAGGGCUUCCUGGAGUUCACUUGGCGUCAGUGGCGAAUCCAAUUCCAUUGCUUGACUGUCUAGUAAUUUUGGAAGAGUUACGUUGUCAAGAAACAGAUCAAUUUCAUUUUUAGAUGGGUUUAUUUGUGGUGAGUAUAAAUUUUCAUAGAAAUCCCUAAAAAUGUUGUUUAUUCUUCCAGGAUCAUAUAUUGUGUUCCCCGAUAAAUCUUUAGCAGCACAUAUAGUUGUUUUUUCUUUAUUUAUUUUUAGCUGGUUAGCUAGAAAUCGACCUGAUUUGUUACUGUGUUCAAAAUUCUGCAAGCGAAGUCUUUGUAUAAGGAAUUGUGUUUUUUUAUUAAUAGUUUCAUUUAAUUCUAGUUUUGUUUUGCAUAUUUUGUUCAAUGUUUCCUGAUCUUGGUGGGACGCGUAGGCUUCUUCUAGUGAUUUGAUGUUUUUUUCUAAUUCCUGAAUAUUUUUGUUUUCUUCUUUCUUUUUGUGUGAUGAGAAAGAAAUUAUUUUACCUCUCAUCACAGCUUUCCCUGCUUCCCAUAGAACAGAAGCAGAUAUUCCGGGAGUGUCAUUAAAGUCUAAAUAUGAAGUCCAUUCCUUUUUAAAGUAUUUAAUAAAGUCUUCAUCUUUAAGUAGUGAUAUAUUAAAUCUCCAGUUUUUACUUGGCGUAGUAUUAUUCUUGUGCAUUAGUGUUAAAGAUACAGGAGCAUGAUCGCUGACAGCUAUAGGAUGAAUCUCAGUGUCUGAAAUGUCACACAGCAGUGAGCUGCUGACCAAAAAAUAAUCCAGACGAGAGUAAGAGUGAUGAACAUGCGAGAAAAAAGUAUAUUCCUUACUGGUGGGGUGAAGAGAGCGCCAUGCAUCGCAAAGACCAAAGUCGUUCAUAUACUGUUUGAUUAUAUUUGUGGACUGCCAAUUACGCUGAGUUCCUGUUGUGUUGAGCCUAUCCAUUUCUUCAUUUAGUCCAAGGUUUUUUUUUUUCUUCUCAUUAGCAUCAUUCAAAAGUGACUUAGCUAGCAGUGGCAACUUCUAUCUAAAACAAUUGAAAUAUAGCAAGGUGUUGUAUAUUUAGUGUGCUAAUAAGGUUUUCAAUAUUUUUAUUUUUUCUUCCAAGGCUGAAGACCGAAGACCAAAAGACAGAAGAAAAAAAAUUCAGACUGCAAUUAAUUUCAGGUGGAGACAGUAAACACAGGAGGCGCCUGAUAUCAACGUGAAACGCACUGCAGUACUUCGUGCCCUUCCUGUAUACCUGUGGGAGGAGG